CCUCAGCCUUCAUCCUGCUUGCUCACUGCUGCUCUUGCUCUCGCACUCCUUAACUGACUCUUAAAACUCCUGUCACUGACUGUCCCCUUAGAGCUGCUGAGGACGGUGCUGAAGAUGGUGCUGAGGACAAAGGGCCAGGAGGGAAAAAUACUCGCUUCAGAAGCAAGUACAUUUGUGACGUACUUAAGUGCCAGAUAUUAAAAUAUGUGGUAUAAGGCUAAUGCAUAAAACAGUGUGAUAUCCACAGCCUGGCUGACAGUAAGUACUCAAUAAAUGUUAGUUGUCGUGAUUAUAAUAUUCUAAGCAUGUUUUAUACAUAUUGUCUCACUUAGCCUUUUUUUUUUGUGGGCUAGGCACAGUGCAAGGACAAUUUUAUUCCCAUUCUACAGAUCAGGAAACUGAGGCACAAAGAGUUUAAAUAACUUGCUAAAGGUCACAAAGGCUGGCCUAGGGACACUGUGGAGUCACUGUGGCAAAGAAGCUGACCUGUCAUCUGAUGCUAUAUUCAGCUGGUUGGUGCAUUUCAGCUCUCAGUGUUGAUGUGAAGAGCUCUGACAGCAUUCUGAUUUUCAGUCAUUUGUUUGUGACUGGUUUCCCCCAAAGCUAUGUAACUCAUUGUUUCUGAAGUCGUGAAUGUUGAUGACAACGUGCCUCGGUCCAGAGCUCUCCUGUACUUCGAAUCUGAAGUACGGCACCACUGAGUCCGAAGCACCAAGCAAGAUUAACUUGGCAACGCGAUACUGGAAGGUGAUACCCUGGCAACGCUGUAAGCUGAGUUCUUCACAUAAAAGUUUGAUAAAACAUGAUUUCAGAGAUUGAUUGGGUUUUGCAUCACUUUGAGACUGAAGCAAUCAUACUUUUAGCUUGGAAAUACUACCAAGGAGUGAGAAAACACACCUACGAUGCGGCUAAUAUAAGGCACACUUAAAUAGCUCCUGUUGGUGUUAGCCUGAUAGUGAAUGUCGGGAGAUGUUUUCCCGUCAAGACAGUAUCUGCCAAAGUGGCACAGGGCACGCGUGCACCUCCCAGACCCCAGCUCUGUGAAGCCUGCAGCUGCUGCCUGCCCUUCAUCCAUCACACCUGUCACUCCAGCACUAACACAUCUUUUCAAAGUACCCUCUCCCCCAUCUUUGGCUCUGCUCAUCUGCGUGGUUGCAGCCUGUUAUGUAACUGCCACCUUACCAAAGCACCAAAAUGCUGAGCUGCUGUAUAGGUGUUAAAUUAUGCA